rnacentral:rRNA from 1 species
UACGUAGGGAUCAAGCGUUGUUCGGAUUUACUGGGCGUAAAGGGCGCGUAGGCGGCUUGACAAGUCACUUGUGAAAUCUCCGGGCUUAACUCGGAACGGCCAAGUGAAACUGUCAUGCUAGAGUGCAGAAGGGGCAAUCGGAAUUCUUGGUGUAGCGGUGAAAUGCGUAGAUAUCAAGAGGAACACCGGUGGUGUAGACGGCUCACUGGACCGUAACUGACGCUGAGACACGAAAGCGUGGGUAGCAAACAGG